UCAGCUGACCUCUCCUGUAGCCUGUUCUUUAAGGAUGGAGUAUUGAAGGGCAGGGAUCUUCUCCCCAGACAGCCUCUUUUUGCCAUGGAAUAUCUUCCACACUAAUCGUGUCCUUCUGUAAGAGGCAAGACCGUUAGUCAUUGGAGAAGGGAAUGGUGCAGCAGAGGCCAAAUGGCCGAAACACCAGGGAUGUAGGAGUCAAGAGGGAGCAGCAAUGCGGAUAUCCUAAAAAGGUGUCGGUGCAGUUCCAACGGAACAUCAGGAAGAAGAUGGAUGUGAAAAGCAAAAAGAGCAACAGUUUGUCUUUUAUUGUCUAAAUAAGGAGCCAUUGGAACCAGGCACUGCAGCCCAUGGUUUCGCGUCCCAUGAUUAUGUCUGCUGAAAGACCACGUGCAGUUUUGGCGCUUAGUUGUUAAUGGUGUGCUCCAUGGGCUAAAUUCACGCCGGUGUAAGCGAGAGCUGCUCCAUAGAGACCGGACUUUAUACCCUAUCUGCAGGGAACUUUACUGAGUGAUACAGUCAAAAAUACGAUUAACACUUCCCACAGCAGGUAUCUAUGUACUCUGGUCUGUUCUUGGAAGAUACCUGCAAGAAAUCACUCACCUCAGAGGGAACACUGCGCCAAACUGAUCUCUGGUACAAUUCCCCUGAAGUCACAUGGAUGCUUGGAUUUAUUUGGCCCAUCCUGUUUCUUUAGCCAUGAGAAGAUGUUUUCAAAUUAUAGUUCCAGUACGAAAGCAUGGAGACACUACCCUAGUCACCUACAAUUUCUCUUGCUAAUAUAAUAUUUUCUGUUGCAAAACUGGACUGAUUUGUUAUGAUAA